AUGCCACAUUUUUUUAGGAAAAGCAUACAUCGUACUAUGUCUGAAAGCCUCACUGGUCAUGCAUCACCCAAUCCAAACCAGGAUCCUAUCCCAAGGACUAGGGUUGAUACCGGUGAAAUGCCAGAUUGUCCUCUCCCUGAGGAUUCAGAUGAUGUAUCAGUUACCAACUCCGAAGUGGAGAGUGCGAUGAACCAUCGGCGCUGGAGGGCGGCUAUGCGCGACCCAACUUUCACCGAAGAGGCAUUCAAUUCCUUCAGCUCAGUGGAUGCAUAUAAACGAGCUGCUCGGGAUGGGCUCGCUGGAGCCACUCAUCAGCUUUCAAAGGAUAUGCGGGUACUCACGAAGAAGAAGAACAUGCUGCCACAGGAGCUGGAAAAAUGCCGGACCCAGCUAACUGCUGUCACCGCCGAACUAGCAAAGUCCAAGGAGGCACCGACUGGAUCACCGGAUCAGUUGGAAGAGAAAUUGAAGGCCGCGCAGGCAGAUAAACAACAUGUCGAAAGGAAAGAGGCUGCUGGUCAGCGUAUACUAACGCGGACCAGGGAUGAGAAGAACAAGUUGCAAGAUGCCAACAUCAAGCAUGGCGAGGAGUUGAAGGACAUAUGA
rnacentral:rRNA from 1 species